AGAGUUUGAUCCUGGCUCAGAACGAACGCUGGCGGCGCGUCUUAAGCAUGCAAGUCGAGCGGCAAGGAUAGCAAUAUCCCUAGAGCGGCGGACUGGUGAGUAACACGUGGGUGAUCUACCUAAUGGUUGGGGAUAGCCUGUGGAAACACAGGGUAAUACCGAAUACGGUUGCGGGAUUACGGUUUCGCAAAGAAAGGAGCUACGGCUCCGCCAUAUGAUGAGCCCGCGGCCCAUUAGCUAGUUGGGGGUGUAACGGACCACCAAGGCGAUGAUGGGUAGCCGGCCUGAGAGGGUGAACGGCCACACUGGGACUGAGAUACGGCCCAGACUCCUACGGGAGGCAGCAGCUAAGAAUAUUCCGCAAUGGACGAAAGUCUGACGGAGCGACGCCRCGUGGAUGAAGAAGGCCGAAAGGUUGUAAAGUCCUUUUGUCGACGAAGAAUAAGUGGGGGAGGGAAUGCCCCCAUGAUGACGUUAGUCGGCGAAUAAGCCCCGGCUAAUUACGUGCCAGCAGCCGCGGUAACACGUAAGGGGCAAGCGUUGUUCGGAAUUAUUGGGCGUAAAGGGUGCGUAGGCGGUCCCGUAAGCCCGGCGUGAAAUACUGGAGCUCAACUCCAGAACGGCGCUGGGAACUGCGAGACUUGAGUCAUGGAAGGGAAGUUAGAAUUCCAGGUGUAGGGGUGAAAUCUGUAGAUAUCUGGARGAAUACCGGUGGCGAAGGCGAACUUCUGGCCAAUGACUGACGCUGAGGCACGAAAGCGUGGGGAGCAAACAGGAUUAGAUACCCUGGUAGUCC
rnacentral:rRNA from 1 species